rnacentral:rRNA from 1 species
AAAAGAAACCAACAGGGAUUGCCCUAGUAACGGCGAGUGAAGCGGCAACAGCUCAAAUUUGAAAUCUGGCUCUUUCAGAGUCCGAGUUGUAAUUUGCAGAGGGCGCUUUGGCAUUGGCAGCGGUCCAAGUUCUUUGGAACAGGACGUCACAGAGGGUGAGAAUCCCGUACGUGGUCGCUAGCCUUUGCCGUGUAAAGCCCCUUCGACGAGUCGAGUUGUUUGGGAAUGCAGCUCUAAAUGGGAGGUAAAUUUCUUCUAAAGCUAAAUACUGGCCAGAGACCGAUAGCGCACAAGUAGAGUGAUCGAAAGAUGAAAAGCACUUUGGAAAGAGAGUCAAACAGCACGUGAAAUUGUUGAAAGGGAAGCGCUUGCAGCCAGACUUGCCUGUAGUUGCUUAUCUGGACUUUUGUCCAGUGCACUCUUCUGCGGGCAGGCCAGCAUCAGUUUGGGCGGUUGGAUAAAGGUCUCUGUCAUGUACCUCUCUUCGGGGAGGCCUUAUAGGGGAGACGACAUGCAACCAGCCUGGACUGAGGUCCGCGCAUUUGCUAGGAUGCUGGCGUAAUGGCUGUAAGCGGCCCGUCUUGAAACACGGACCAAGGAGUCUAACAUCUAUGCGAGUGUUUGGGUGUCAAGCCCAGACGCGUAAUGAAAGUGAACGGAGGUGGGAACCCUUUGGGUGCACCAUCGACCGAUCCUGAUGUCUUCGGAAGGAUUUGAGUAAGAGCAUGGCUGUUGGGACCCGAAAGAUGGUGAACUAUGCUUGAAUAGGGUGAAGCCAGAGGAAACUCUGGUGGAGGCUCGCAGCGGUUCUGACGUGCAAAUCGAU